rnacentral:rRNA from 1 species
UACAGAGGGGGCAAGCGUUGUUCGGAAUUACUGGGCGUAAAGGGCGCGUAGGCGGCCUUCUAAGUCGAACGUGAAAUCCCCGGGCUCAACCCGGGAACUGCGUCCGAUACUGGAAGGCUUGAAUCCGGGAGAGGGAUGUGGAAUUCCAGGUGUAGCGGUGAAAUGCGUAGAUAUCUGGAGGAACACCGGUGGCGAAGGCGACAUCCUGGACCGGUAUUGACGCUGAGGCGCGAAAGCCAGGGGCGCAAACGGG